rnacentral:snoRNA from 1 species
AACCCAUGUUGCGGGCACUUUCGGAGCAUGUUUUUGAAUCUAUUCCAGGCUUCAUCAAACAAUUCAUUUUCUCCUUGACUAAAUACUGAUAUGUCAUGUCUCAGCUU